AGUGAACGCUGGCGGUAGGCCUAACACAUGCAAGUCGAACGGCAGCACAGGAGAGCUUGCUCUCUGGGUGGCGAGUGGCGGACGGGUGAGGAAUACAUCGGAAUCUACUUUUUCGUGGGGGAUAACGUAGGGAAACUUACGCUAAUACCGCAUACGACCUACGGGUGAAAGCAGGGGAUCUUCGGACCUUGCGCGAUUGAAUGAGCCGGUGUCGGAUUAGCUAGUUGGCGGGGUAAAGGCCCACCAAGGCGACGAUCCGUAGCUGGUCUGAGAGGAGUAUCAGGCACACGGGAACUGAGACACGGUCCAGACUCCUACGGGAGGCAGCAGUGGGGAAUAUUGGACAAUGGGCGCAAGCCUGAUCCAGCCAUACCGCGUGGGUGAAGAAGGCCUUCGGGUUGUAAAGCCCUUUUGUUGGGAAAGAAAUCCAGCUGGUUAAUACCCGGUUGGGAUGACGGUACCCAAAGAAUAAGCACCGGCUAACUUCGUGCCAGCCGCCGCCGUAA
rnacentral:rRNA from 1 species